rnacentral:lncRNA from 1 species
UUUUCUUAAGUGAUGCAAGUUCAACUUGUAUCUCCAGGUUCUUAAGUCCUCUUUCAGUAGCUCCCUUGGUUGCACAGUCGCACUUGUUGGCUUCAGCCUAUACGAGUUAGGCUUUCCUGGGGUAAGCCUCAUUUACAUAUUUAUAUUGCUCAUAUUAAAAUUUAAUCCAUAAAAAAAAAGUUCAAUAUUAAUCCCCUGACCCUGGCUUGCAUCUUUUUUUUUUCUUUUUUUUUUUUAUUUUAUGAGUUAAUAAUGCCUCACUAAGAAAUGCUCUUAGCAAUGGGAGAAAGCUGAUAGCAAUGCCUUUUUGAUCCUCAAUUGUUGAAUUGUUUCCAGAGUACUGAGAAGUAAUCUUAUAGGAUUGAUUUCUGAGAAGUUCCAGAUUCAUUUUGGCUGUGUAUCACAGUAGAUAUCUUUGUCUUUUGUUCGGUAGAUAUUGGUACUUCACUUGUGUCAUUAUAACGUAUGAAUUUUUGUUGGUAAGGAUGAUGGGUAUUCAGACAAAAUUUACUCAGUUACAUGUUAUUCUAACAUGGUAGCUUGAAGUCUACUUGAAUGAGUGUGACACAGUAUAAGUGUGACACAGGAUUGAGUCCAGGUUGGUGUGUAAUGUCUAGAUGAGUAUCAAUUUGCAAAAUAAGUAAAUAAUUUUCAUUCUUCAUUUCUGUUGCUAUAAACUAAAACAUGCCAUAAUCUGUAUGUAACAACUAAUAACACAUCAUUUUCCUGAACUUUAUUGUACUUUUUGUUCUUCAGUUUCCAAUUUGGUUGAUAAGUAGUCGUAAUUACUACAAACUCUACAAGUGCUAGGUCUAACUAACAAUGCAUUCAUUCUACUGCUUAGGAUCUUAUUCUUUGCCGGAAUGAUGUGCACAAGAACUAUCUAGUUAUCUUCCACUACCACCGCCACUCCUGCCAUCCUCAAUCUCUUCAGAUGAGGACUAUGAUGAUGAGGAUGAAGAUAACACGAAGACUAUAGCUAAUAGUUUUAGUAUGGUUGAACAAUAUACUCAGAAUUAUAGUUGAUGUAUCAAUACACAUUAUUUAUGUUUUGAAUUAUAUUGACUUGCG